UACGUAGGGGGCUAGCGUUGUCCGGAUUUAUUGGGCGUAAAGAGCGUGUAGGCGGCCAGGUAGGUCCGUUGUGAAAACUCGAGGCUCAACCUCGAGACGUCGGCGGAAACCAUCUGGCUAGAGUCCGGAAGAGGAGAGUGGAAUUCCUGGUGUAGCGGUGAAAUGCGCAGAUAUCAGGAAGAACACCUAUGGCGAAGGCAGCUCUCUGGGACGGUACUGACGCUGAGACGCGAAAGCGUGGGGAGCGAACAGG
rnacentral:rRNA from 1 species